UCGGAUCAUCAGCACGAUUAUCACGAUGCAGGCUUCCGAACAGAAGAGAGUUACGGAGAAGGCCAGGCUGUAAAAAGAAAACAUUUUUUUUAUCAGAAAAUUGAUAAUUUUUUGUGCUUUAUCGCAUGUUCUCGGUGCAGCAGUGUGUGAAGGGCAUGAAGAGUACUCGUUUACUCUGACGCAUCAAAAGGUUGCGUAACGGAAGGGAGACAAGCAAGAUUACGUCGGGAUAGUUGACAUUGCCUCUAGUUCGUCGUUUAGUUAAACACAUCAAGUUUAAUUAAAUUUAUAAUUACAUUAAUGUAGAGUAAGAGUGAAGUAUGUACUUACUUGCCAGGCUCCACCCUAAACUGAUUGCCGUGGUAGGCAUGAUAUAUGGCAGCGAUACUCCACGCGAUACCGAUGCCCAGGAAGACGUUCACUGCGUUGCUGCCGGUCACGUUUCCGACACUAGCGUCUGCAUACUUGUCCUGACAUGCAGCCACCUUGCUGGCAAACGUGUCUGAAAUUUAACGACAAAAUUUCAAGUUUAGUCUCUACUCUUGCUACAAGAACCAUCUCCUGUUUUUAUCGCCCAUCGGCAUCCGAGCAUCCAAGCCAUCGCGUUCCUGCUCGGACGCCAUAAAUUCACGAGCUAAAUUUUUUCUCCAGUCUAGACUUGUAUUGUUACGUAACAUCACAACUAUUUUGUUGAUAGUGUAACUUUGAAUCAACUUGGCCAGUUGAUUCCUCGACAGAAGCAGGGAGAGACAAAGUUUAAAAAAUAAAAGUUUCUAAGCUGAGAUAGCGAUCGGAAUCCUGGAAAUUUCCUGGAUUAUUUGUCAAGAGUUAUUUUGGAAAUGCCUUUAGUAUCAAACUUUGUGUUUUAUUAUUGCUAA